UAACAAGGUUUCCGUAGGUGAACCUGCGGAAGGAUCAUUGAAUCUAUCAAUACCAACACCGUGAACCACUAUUGUUUGGUCCGCUGGAACUGGCUUAACUGCCAGAUCUGGUGCAGACUGGCUCGCGUUAGACCGAGUCGGUCUGGACUCGCACUAUUCGUGCGGGUUGGCCCCCCAUACCAACACCAACACCAAACCAAACCUUAUCGAUUGAAUACCAUAUGUAUCUGGCCUAGCCAGUGCAUCCAAACAGAGAUAACUCUCAACAACGGAUAUCUUGGCUCUCGCAACGAUGAAGAACGCAGCGAAAUGCGAUACGUAGUGUGAAUUGCAGAAUUCCGUGAACCAUCGAAUCUUUGAACGCACAUUGCGCCUUAGGCUUCGGCCAAGGGCAUGUCUGCCUCAGCGUUGGGUUUAUAUCGCUCCCUUAUACCCCUUCGGGUAUAGAGAGGCGGAUCUGGCUGUUCCAGCUAUGCAGUUCGAAUCAUUCGUGAUUCGGGCAUCUAUGCACCUGGAUCAGCUGAAGACCAGAGGCUAACCAAGGACCCGAUAAGGGCCGCAACUGGGUGGGCUGUCAAAGGCUAUAUUCUUAGUUGUUGGUCUGGGACUUUGUGUUCGGCCCUCAAACAGGAACCUAUAAACCAUAAUCUCAACCUGAGCUCAGGCAAGAACACCCGCUGAACUUAAGCAUAUCA
rnacentral:misc_RNA from 1 species